rnacentral:rRNA from 1 species
UACGUAUGGUGCAAGCGUUAUCCGGAUUUACUGGGUGUAAAGGGAGCGUAGACGGCUGUGUAAGUCUGAAGUGAAAGCCCGGGGCUCAACCCCGGGACUGCUUUGGAAACUAUGCAGCUAGAGUGUCGGAGAGGUAAGUGGAAUUCCCAGUGUAGCGGUGAAAUGCGUAGAUAUUGGGAGGAACACCAGUGGCGAAGGCGGCUUACUGGACGAUGACUGACGUUGAGGCUCGAAAGUGUGGGGAGCAAACAGG